AGUGUCGAAUGAUUUUAAGGAAAGAGUCAUAUAUUAAAAUGCAAGACUCUUUAGUGGAGGUCAAGCAAGUCGAUAUAGGUAGAAUACUCUGCAAAAUUAUGCGACUGAGGGGAUGUCAAACAAUGUGUCAGGAAACGCGUUGUUUUUCUGCAAAACAAAAGCUGAUUGCCAUUACAUAAGUCACCUUAGCAUCAUGAGACUGCUGCUUGGUAAAUUGAGAAAUAAACCAAAAAAAUAAGACACGCAAAAAUAAAAAACAAUUUAAUGAUGCUCUCUCCACACUGGGAUAAAUAAAAACAAACACAUCACCUCUAAUGUGGACAUAUCAGACGCCUUGUGAAACACUAAAGGAAUAAUUCAGUUUCGAGCUACGGCACUUGCCGCAUAGAUGUGGGGGGGCCUUGCACUAAUAGUGAUAGUUACCACUGCAUUUAGAAAUUGAAAGCAUUCGUGCAGACAAGGAUGAUUCUUUAUAUUUUUGGCUACCACUUCAAAUGCCUCCACCAGGUGUUACAAUGCUGCACGUAGCCAUACUAAGGAUCUCGCAGCAACACCUGGAGGUAUAAAAUCAGAAGCAGUCAAAGUGCUGGUGUGUACUGGACACUAUGUUUGAAAAAUUUAGGCAAGAAGAGUGCAAGAAGCAGGCAUAAUAACUGCAUUUAAUUCCAUAAUUCCCCAUUUCAUGGCCUUUUCUUUUUGCUUAGACAAUGCCUACGCCUAGCCACAGCAGCUCCCUCAUACAGACUCUGCAAGCCAAGAGGCCGUGGAGGCAAAUGCAGGCAGCCAGCACACCUCGAACAGCCACCUUGACUGCGGGUGUGUUACCCUAGUCGCCAAGGAAACAUUUGAGGGAAAGCGGCAGGCAAUGUGAACAGCCACUUCUCCAUGUAAACGAUACUCUUUCUUUGAUGGCUCCUACGCCUCGCCAGCACACUUGUGCACAAAGAUGCCGCGGAGGCACGUGCAUGUCAGAGGCAAGAAGCAGUGGCACUGGUGUCGACAUUCACCCAAUUUCUUUUUCUUACACUGAGGCAGCCAGCACACCUCGAACAGCCACCUUGACUGCGGGUGUGUCAGUAGAUUCCUGUUGUACAUAUGCUCAUAAUAAACUUCAGUAAACUUGAACUUGAUAAUAAACUUUAAGGCAAAUGGGA
rnacentral:lncRNA from 1 species